UCGACCUGAGAUUAGAUAAGAUUACCCGCCGAAUUUAAGCAUAUUAAUAAGCGGAGGAAAAGAAAACAACUGUGAUUCCCUUAGUAAUGGCGAAUGAAACGGGAUGAGCCCAUCGCGUAACUGCAGGUCAUCUUGGCCUCGCGGAAUGUCGCGUUUGGGAGAGUCUCAUCGGGAGCUGGACAGCCAGUCAAAGUCCAACUUGACAGUGGCCACUGCCCAUAGAGGGUGAUAGGCCCGUAAGACGGUUGUCUGCUUCUGCCGACUUUUCCCCCGAGUCGGGUUGCUUGGGAGUGCAGCCCAAAGUGCGAGGUAAACUCCUCGUAAGGCUAAAUAUGACUUCGAGACUGAUAGCAAACAAGUACCGUGAGGGAAGAUUGAAAAGAACUUUGAAGAGAGAGUUCAAUAGUACGUGAAACUGUGUGGUGGUAAACGGAGGGGUUCUCGAAGUUUCUGAGGGGAACUCAACCUUGGUGUCGGGCGGUCAGGGCGUAUCUGAUCAGCAAUGACUGUGCGUUUUGUCUGGCUUGGCUCUCGGGUGCAUUUCCCCCUCAGUUUACGGCAGGAACCGUUUGGCACGGACCGAAGGCCUCGGGUGAAGUUGUCGCUUAUGGUGGCAGCCCUGGGUGUCCUGGCUCUGAGCCCGACGGGUAUGUGAGAGGACUCGUAUAGCGAGCAAUGCUC
rnacentral:rRNA from 1 species